rnacentral:rRNA from 1 species
ACAGCAGUAGCCACGGUAAUACAGAGGGUGCGAGCGUUAAUCGGAUUCACUGGGCGUAAAGCGUGCGUAGGCGGCUUCUUAAGUCGGAUGUGAAAUCCCUGAGCUUAACUUAGGAAUUGCAUUCGAUACUGGGAAGCUAGAGUAUGGGAGAGGAUGGUAGAAUUCCAGGUGUAGCGGUGAAAUGCGUAGAGAUCUGGAGGAAUACCGAUGGCGAAGGCAGCCAUCUGGCCUAAUACUGACGCUGAGGUACGAAAGCAUGGGGAGCAAACAGGAUUAGAUACCCGUGUAGUCCCUGUCUCUUAUAC